rnacentral:pre_miRNA from 1 species
GAAAUACUCCAUCCGUCCGAAAAUACUUGUCAUCAAAAUGGAUAAAAAGUGAUGUAUCUAAAACUAAUAUACGUCUAGAUACAUCCCCUUUUAUUCAUUUUGAUGACAAGUAUUUCCGGACGGAGGGAGUACUUC